rnacentral:lncRNA from 1 species
AAACAGUGGAUAAAUACCUUGAAAGAAAGGAUGCUAGCUCUGGGACGAAACUGACACCCGAAGAAGAAGAAGAAGAAGAAAAACUUAGAUACGGUCCUUGUGGAUGUUGUGGAAAGGAGAAACACCGCGCAACUGAAAAUUGCCCUUCUGGAAUGUGAGGUAAACACAUUUGUAAUAUUUAACUUAUGUCCGUCUUUUGUUCAAAAACAAAAACAAAAACUUAUGUCAGUCUUUUAGAACAAGAAGCCUUAUUAUUAAUCAAGUGCCGUUGAGGUCGGUGGUUUUUAACGAUCGAUGUAUGUAUCAAUGGCGAUUGAUUUGGUGUUCGAAUGAAAAGUUUGUGUGAAUUAGCAUAUGAUUUAUGCUUUAAUUUGGGUGGCCGAGUGGCCGGUGCGAUGAAGCCGGAAUAAAUAUUUCAAAUUUCUGAGAGUGACUCCUCCAACCCCCGACAGUGUGAGUGUGAUCGACAUCCGAUUGCCUACGGUUUCGGCACUAUCGGCCAAGCAACUGUAUAACAUUGGUGAUCCUAAUUGCAAACUUGCCACCCAAGUAACUGCAUUUGUAUGUUCUCGAUCGGGUUUCCUAGAUUAAAUGAAGGAUGAAUGCCGCGUCUACCCAUCUGGACAUUGAUGAGAGUUUGAAAACAUUAAACCAUAUCUCAAAUGGAUAACCUCAAAUGGAUGGUCUCAAAACAAAAUAAAAAUCGUAUACUGGCAUAAUUCCUAUGCCUUGGGAUGACAAAGAAAAUACCCCAUCUAAGCACUAUCUUUUUGUUGCCUACCCUUGGACAAAGCGGUCUCUGUUGAGAGAAUUAAUCUCAGAGAAAGAAAAAAUUUACAUGUGAUUAUAAGUAAUUGAACUACUUUUUAUAUUGUUGCAAAUUGGUUUUAUUGUUUGCAACUUUGGGACCAAAGUUUCCAAGCUCUCUUGGCAACUAUCUUCAUUUACGUCUAAUCUUAAAACGCUUUAAUCUUAACAACGAUUGAGCAAACUGUAGCAUGUAGAUUGUAGAGCCAUUUAAAUGGCAAACUUUUAUUUUUCGAAAACAACCCAUGUACCAAUCUUCGAGUUUUCUCUACAUCAUAUCUCCCCGUAAGGAAAGAAAGCUGAAUAAUUGAUGAUUGACUUGUUUUGUACAUGGAUUUCUAAGAACAUGCAUAAAGCAAAGGCACACACAUCUCCUGUUGUUUUGCUGACUAAAUAGGUAAGCAAAAUUUGAAGUGUUUAACGUUGGAAUUUAGGGUACUUAGGCAUUGCCUUGCCAAUAAGUUGAAUGCUUUUUGUGUUUUGAUGCGCAGGAGAGCAUCCCUCAUAACGCUAUUGACAUGAAACCUUGUUUGAUUUGUAAUGUUUCUGCUUGCAUUUGGGUCAGCAAAAUUUGUAACGCGCAAGCGAUCGGUUGCAGGCGGAGCAGAAGACAUGAUCAUCAGACUUUUGAAUUGGGAGAAAGGUCUGAUGUGUACUCGGAUAUUCGAAGGGCAUUGAUCUCACUAUGUGAUGCAAGUUUUGUGUGACUUGAAAUUCAGUGUUUGUGUGGAAGAUGGUGUAAGCGGGAUGGGAUGGAACUGUCAGAAGAAUAUGGCAUCCAACUACCUAAUACGUAAGUUUUUAAAAUUCCAAAUGUAUGCUGAAGCUAUUGAUUUCUUAUCAAGUUUAGGAUUUAAUGCAUGAACUCAACCACUUCCCAUGCUGCCUAAUUAUGACCAGCUCCAACAAUGACCGUCCUCCCUAAGAGUUUUACUUUAUCAUAAAUAUCUGUCACUGAAUACAAGUAGGAAAUAAAAGUCCUGCACCAUACAAAACAAAUAGAGGAGAUGAACAAAAAACCAUAUCCAGAUUACCUAUUUGAAUCUCUUUAUUACGUACUUUAGUUGCAAUCCUGGAAUCCAAUGCUAAGAGUACACAUACCAUCAGAGAAAAACAUUGUAAUGAUGGUUGUUCUUUUUGAUUUUGAUAUUGGGACCAUAGAAGAAAACUGCAACACAAAGAUAUGAUUUUGGAAAUCUUAAUUUCAAAAGAUAGCAUACAACCCCCACUACCAGCUUUUCACACAUUUAGGUUUUUUUUAUUUUUUUAUUUUUAUUUUUUUACCAAUGUCCUUUUGCAGUUUCCCAAAAAAAAAACAUAGAAACUAACUUUUAAAUUCAUGAUAUCAGUUAGUAAAGAAAAAAAAAACUUCAAUACAUGGGAAUUUUAAAGUUACCUCUUGAAAUUUUUGCUGGUGGAUACAUGGUCGCUGUAUUUCGUGAUACUUACAACAAAAAUUUCAAGAGGUGACUUUAAAAUUCCCAUGUAUUGAAGUUUUUGUUUUCUUUACUUACUGAUAUCAUGAAUUUAAAAGUUAGUUUCUAUGUUUUUUUUUCUUUGGAAAACUGCAAAAGGACAUUGGUAAAAAAAAUACCUAAAUAUGUGAAAAGUUGGUACUAGGGUUUGUAUGCUAUGUUUCAAAAAUAAGAUUUCCAAAAUCAUAUAUUUCUUUUGCAGGUUUUUCUUCUAUGGUCCCAAUAUCAAAAUCAAAAGGAACAACCAUCAUUACAAUGAUUUUCUCUGAUGGUAUGUAUACUCCUAGCAUUGGAUUCCAGGAUUGCAACUGAAGUACGUAAUAAAGAGAUUCAAAUAGGUAAUCUGGAUAUGGUUUUUCCUUUAUCUCCUCUAUUUGUUUUGGAUGGUGCAUGACUUUUAUUUACUACUUGUAUUUUCAGUCAUAGAUAUUUACGAUAAAGUAAAAAUCUUAGGGAGGACGGUCAUUGUUGGGGCUGGUCAUAAUGAGGUAGCAUGGGAAGUGGUUGGGUUCAUGCAUUCAAUCCUAAACUUGAUAAGAAAUCAAUAGCUUCAGCAUACAUUUGUGCAAUUGAAUUUUUUAAAACUUACCUAUUAGCUGGUUGGAUGCCAUAUUCUUCUGAGAGUUCCAUCCCAUUUAUAAUCUGGAAUACAUCCUCGGGCAGCAAUCGUACUUUCUGGAAUAAUAGAAGUUCAAAGAUAACUCUCUCUAUUCUCUCAUCUCUUCUUCCUCUCUUUGAUGUUGUCUUCAUAAUUCCCUCUCUUCUUAAUGUGUGUUCUCUUCUUACACUUUGGCCUUCCUUAUAUAGGCAAAUGAAUAGGCAAAAUGUUAAAUCAAAACCUAC